rnacentral:rRNA from 1 species
GACGUAGGAGGCGAGCGUUGUCCGGAGUUACUGGGCGUAAAGCGCGCGCAGGCGGCCCUGUGCGCUGCCGGUGAAAGCUCCCGGCUUACCUGGGAGAGGUUCGGCAGGACGGCAGGGCUGGAGGGUGGGAGAGGUCGGUGGAAUUCCCGGUGUAGUGGUGAAAUGCGUAGAUAUCAAGAGGAACACCAGUGGCGAAGGCGAGUCCCUGGACGAUACCUGACACUGAGGCACGAAAGCCAAGGGAGCAAACAGG